GGGGAAUAUUGGACAAUGGGCGAAAGCCUGAUCCAGCAACGCCGCGUGAGGGAUGACGGCCUUCGGGUUGUAAACCUCUUUCAGCAGGGACGAAGCGAAAGUGACGGUACCUGCAGAAGAAGGACCGGCCAACUACGUGCCAGCAGCCGCGGUAAUACGUAGGGUCCGAGCGUUGUCCGGAAUUAUUGGGCGUAAAGGGCUCGUAGGCGGUUUGUCGCGUCGGGAGUGAAAACUCAGGGCUCAACCCUGAGCGUGCUUCCGAUACGGGCAAACUAGAGGUAUGCAGGGGAGAAUGGAAUUCCUGGUGUAGCGGUGGAAUGCGCAGAUAUCAGGAGGAACACCGGUGGCGAAGGCGGUUCUCUGGGCAUUACCCGACGCUGAGGAGCGAAAGCAUGGGGAGCGAAC
rnacentral:rRNA from 1 species